rnacentral:tRNA from 1 species
GCCUGGCUGGCUCAGUUAGAAGAGCAUGGGACUCUUGAUUUGAGGAUCAUGGGUUUCAAUCCCAUGUUGGGUA